rnacentral:rRNA from 1 species
UACGAAGGGGGCGAGCGUUGUUCGGAUUUACUGGGCGUAAAGAGCUCGUAGGCGGUCUGUCGCGUCGGCUGUGAAAUCCCGAGGCUCAACCUCGGGUCUGCAGUCGAUACGGGCAAACUAGAGUAUUGCAGGGGAGACUGGAAUUCCUGGUGUAGCGGUGAAAUGCGCAGAUAUCAGGAGGAACACCGGUGGCGAAGGCGGGUCUCUGGGCAAUAACUGACGCUGAGGAGCGAAAGCGUGGGGAGCGAACAGG